rnacentral:rRNA from 1 species
GAGGCCCUACGGGGCGCAGCAGUGGGGAAUAUUGCACAAUGGGGGAAACCCUGAUGCAGCGACGCCGCGUGAGCGAUGAAGUAUUUCGGUAUGUAAAGCUCUAUCAGCAGGGAAGAAAAUGACGGUACCUGACUAAGAAGCACCGGCUAAAUACGUGCCAGCAGCCGCGGUAAUACGUAUGGUGCAAGCGUUUUCCGGAUUUACUGGGUGUAAAGGGAGCGCAGGCGGCACGGCAAGCCUGAUGUGAAAGCCCGCGGCCCAACCGCGGGACUGCAUUGGGAACUACCGGGCUGGAGUGCCGGAGG